AGUGUACGCCGACAAUGCUGACCCAUGAAGAGCUGCCCACCUUAUGGACAGAAGUAAACGCAUCAGAGGGAAACUGGAGGUUUGGACAACUGAGGGUUGAAGCUUUUGGCACCUAAGAAGCUUUUUCCCCCAAAUCAGGAAAGCCUCAUCUAGCGUGCGAGAGACUUCCUCAUGAAUCUCAUCAUCUGAGCUGAUGUCCUCCACACAAGCCAUGAGUUGUGCCACUCGUUGUCGGAGCUGUAAGCGACCACUGGACCCUGUACUGC